AAGUUAUUAGUUAUAUAUAUAUAUAAAAAUUUACAAUCUGUAUUAGAAAAAACACAAUAAGUAAAUAUGAAAAAUAUGUACAAAAAAAGAUAGUAUUAAUGACAGAAUGACAUGAUAAAGUAGAUUAUUUAAUGAUAAGAACCCUUCAGACUUAAUUAAUUACUCAUUAUUUAAUUGUUAGUAUUAGUUUAGAAGAUCUUGACACCAACGUUUUUUGAGACUACAGGGGAAGUUGUCAGGUAAUGUGAACGAGGAUAACUGGAAUAUAAGAGAAUUUUGGUGAUGUUGUAAUUUGUUGUGAAAUUUUUUUUAAUAUUGUUUUAUUAGUUGUUCAACAGUUUGGAUUUUUGUGUUGUUUGUGAUAUACCAUGGUGCAGAGACUAUGAGGCGGAGUAUUAUGGAUUGAAGUGAUUGAAUAGUUUGUGUUUGGGAUAGUUUGGUGCCUCUCUAGAUUUGCGACUAAGCCUAAAUAAGUCAAAGUUAUUAAUUCUCUUUAAAUGUUUAACUUCUAUUAGUUUUAUAAG